rnacentral:rRNA from 1 species
AACGAACGCUGGCGGCAGGCUUAACACAUGCAAGUCGAGCGCCCCGCAAGGGGAGCGGCAGACGGGUGAGUAACGCGUGGGAAUCUACCCAUCUCUACGGAAUAACGCAUGGAAACGUGUGCUAAUACUGUAUACGUCCUUCGGGAGAAAGAUUUAUCGGAGAUGUGAUGAGACCGCGUUGGAUUAGCUAGUUGGUGGGGUAAAGGCAUACCAAGGCGACGAUCCAUAGCUGGUCUGAGAGGAUGAUCAGCCACACUGGGACUGAGACACGGCCCAGACUCUUACGGGAGGCAGGAGUGGAGAACAUUGGACAAUGGGCGCAAGCCGGAUCCAGCCAGGCCGCGUGAGUGAUGAAGGCCCUAGGGUUGUAAAGCUCUUUCACCGGUGAAGAUAAUGACGGUAACCGGAGAAGAAGCCCCGGCUAACUUCGUGCCAGCAGCCGCGGUAAAAC